rnacentral:lncRNA from 1 species
AAAUUGGUAAUUUAUAUACCAUGUUUAUCAAAUGUUAUUAAUUAAAUUCAUUUUCCCUUUCUAAUUCUUUAAAUUGUCAAUGCUUACCGCCUAGACUACGCUCAUAGGGAAAUACCCCAAAAUGGUACCCCAAGGGGGAAAUUCCAAACACUUUUUUUUAAUAAUAUUUGUUUCAUAUUUUUUAUUAUUUUUUCAUUUUUUU